CCUACGGGUGGCAGCAGUGGGGAAUAUUGCACAAUGGGCGAAAGCCUGAUGCAGCAACGCCGCGUGAGCGAUGAAGGCCUUCGGGUCGGAAAGCUCUGUCCUCAAGGAAGAUAAUGACGGUACUUGAGGAGGAAGCCCCGUCUAACUACGUGCCAGCAGCCGCGGUAAUACGUAGGGGGCUAGCGUUAUCCGGAAUUACUGGGCGUAAAGGGGGCGUAGGCGGACUGUUAAGUCAGCGGUAAAAGCCCGGGGCUCAACCCCGGCGAGCCGUUGAAACUGGCUGUCUUGAGAUGGCGAGAGGUAUGCGGAAUGCGCAGUGUAGCGGUGAAAUGCUUAGAUAUUGCGCAGAACUCCGAUUGCGAAGGCAGCAUACCGGCGGCGAUCUGACGCUGAGGCACGAAAGCGUGGGUAUCGAACAGGAUUAGAUACCCUAGUAGUC
rnacentral:rRNA from 1 species